ensembl:lncRNA
UUUUGAUGGUUUUUGUAUCUGAAUGAGAAAGGAUUUAAUGUAAUGUGAAAGAUGUAAUAAAAUAUAUUUUGUUCCAAAGCAAUGAUAAAUGAUCCACAGCUUAGCCCACAUAGACUGCUGUUGUGCUCACUUUGUGAAAGAUAAAAAAAAAAAAAAAUGACCUAAGUAUUGAGAAAUGUGUCCUAGCGAUAGUAAAAUAAAUAAAAAAUAAAUGUAAUAAAUGACCAUCAGUUGAUUAGCUGGAGUAAAUAUGUGUGGAUGUGUUGUUGUAUGGCUACCAAUUGUUUUCAGUGUGUGUGAGAAUAUUGUUAACAUGGGGGAUUCCCAAACAUAGUUGCUUCCAUCCAUCAGCACAAACUUCCCUUCAUCAAGCGGCAGAAAAUAGAACAGUGCAUGAAUAUUUCAUAAAACCUUCACCUCCAACACACACACACACACACACACACACACACACACACUCAUAAAUACACUCAUUUGGAGUGACUUCAACAUAUUCAUCAAUAAUCAAAGCACACACACACAUUCAUUGACAGAGUCUUUGUUCAUCAAAAUGCCUGUGCGUGUGUAUUUGUGUGUGUGUGUCUGUGUGGUAUUGUGUCUGUGUGUGUCCUCGCCCUGUACAGUAAAUAGAGAAAUAAAAGAUGAGAGAGUGUUGUGAAGUUCUCCUCCUCUAGCCGCUCAGUCUGGAGUCUUGGCCAAAUUUCCGCUGUGGUGUAGGUGUGGUGCCUGUCUCUCGUUCUUUCACAGAGACACAGAGACAGCGGUGAAGUGGGAGUGCUGUCGCUUGCGGCGGGCAGGAGGCCAACGAUCUGCCACGCCAAACCGGGCACCUCCACAAGAGGACCCGAGGGGUCGGGAGGGUCAAAGGUCCCGUCACGGGGGCCCGCAGGAACAUCCCUAACUUCCUGUUUCUGGAGGUGGUGGGCGGCAGGAGGUGGACUGGAGGAGCGGUGAGGCAGCCGCAAACACAUUUACUGUGAGAAUGUCCAGGGGGGAAUGCGGAGCAGACAGCCAGGCGAAGACCACUGUCACGUAGCCAACUUUCACCAUCAAGGAGAGACCUUCCCGUCCACACGGCCCAUGCAAUAUUUGCCGAGUCGAGGAUAUUGAUGUACUGCUCAAUGGGGGGAGAAAUUGGCUUGAUGCAG